CGCACACCAUCUAGUGAGGAAAUGCGAUGUAAAAUGGGAGCAGACCUAGAAGCAGACAACCCCCAGGCUCUGAUCCUGUUGCCAUGCGGCCGUUUCCCGGGCAACCCGUUCCCAAUGGCUCGUGCUGGAGCAGUAAAACCGACCACAGAGUCAAGAUAGCAGCGUGAGAUGUUAUCAGGAUGCACCGUCUGGAGCAACUCCAUUAAAAUUAAAUAGGGAAGGGGAAUUGAGUGAGAAGAUUCGCCCGCGUCACAAAGGGGCCGGUUUGGUUUAGAGCGCGGUGUCACGUGGUGUGUGAUGGAGCUGAACGUCCUGAGAGCUGCCAGCGAAACAGGUAAUAGAAAGGCUGUGUCCACCUUCAGUGUCAGAUACAUCAAACACGGCCGUGACAUUGGGCUUUCAGGACAGACUAACCUCCCAUUCAAGGAAAUACAAAACAAGAACCCUUAAUGCCCUUGCUCUUGCCCAGAGUUCUUCACGUAAGAAAUUCCAUUAUGGUAUAGUUCAACAGGCGCCGCGUGUCUGAGUAAAGAGUAAUGUAUUACAUUUCUCCAACUGUACCUUACCUUGUCAAAGUCCAAAUGCCCAUUUAUAACUGAGAUAUAGUGGACAAAACACAUUUUGAUAUAUGUAGCCCUCCAGCAGUGAUUUAUUUAGAGCUUUCCUUUCUUUGCUUUUCCUGCGCUGCCGGUGGGGGACGAAACCUACAGCGCUCAUGAGUCACAAGUGACCCGUAGUCGCAGACAGCACCUACCGCAUUUCAAGUACAAACAGCUCUUCUGAGACGCUGCAUUCAGCGCAAAAGCACUCUCUGAGACUUCACAGCCAACUUCUCUUCCAGGAUGCGCAGCGCAGACGGACGAGCUGCAAUAAAACGGGAGUGAGCUGUCCAUCAUGUCACGGGCACAGUGACUUAUAGUCACUGGCCAUGUCUUUACAAGACAUACAGUAGUGCACUUUCUGCUUAAUUCUGGUCGCUUCAACGUGGAGCAGCUGUCGGGAGCAGGCGAGCGCCCGCUUGGCGGGAUGGAGAGUGGUCCACGAUGUAAACUGUGCUCGAGGCUACGUAAUAAUGAGACUCUGGGAAGCAACAGUGGAUGAAGCCACAGAUGCAACAGAAACCUCCAACACCAAACUGCUGGUUUACUGAUCACAAGCAGUCACGUUUUUCAUUUCCAAGAAUUCAGCAGAAACAUCAUUUGUGUUACAUAAGCAGCAAUUCUUCAAAUUGUGCAAUAAUGUGGUUAAAAUAAAACACAUGUACUGAAUAAAAGAUAGAGAAUGGAAUUUGCCCCCUCGUGUCAAACUUUAGCAAAGUGCAUUUUCAUUUAUUUAUUCGCAGAAGACUCCUGCGUGGAGCUGUCGAUCAGGGUCAAGUGUGAUGAAUGUUUUAUACGCAGCAAAACAAAGGACUGAAUCUGACGUCAUGGCUUCCUGUUGGCUCGGUCCGAGCCUUUGCUUAAAGCUGCAAUAAUGCAUUUAAGGGGAUCUUAGGAGGUGAAUGGAGCACUCACCUAAACCUCAAGGAGCCGGCAGAUAGAGCCAAAUUGGAGUAGCAUUGAUUUGUUUUGUAUUUUAUCCAGCCAGUAAAUGUCUGACGUGCGUGAAGUCCAAAAUCUAUUCUCGGUCUAGUUCUGCUCGAGGAUCCAACUCCGGAGAAAGUUGUUUCUUCAGCUAAGUGCUCCCCAUGUUUACCAGCCAUCUGCCCUUCAGUGUGGAGAACUCACUGUACUGUGGGGUCAUGACAGCUUUACUGUGUCUUUUCCUGAAAGCGGGUGUCGAUUCAAGAGGAAAAAACCAAACGAUGAUGCAAAAAGGACACCGCGGACGUCCUGAUGUCUGAUGAGAAGCAGCUGAUCUAGCUAAAAACAACAUUUCCGCCCCUUGCUCUCGGAGAGACGCUCAUUUUCCAGCUUUCUGCUUUCUGUAGGACUGUGUGUUGUAAUGAAGGCCCUGUGUUUGCAUGGUGUAAAGCGUCUGAGCGCCUCGCUGAGCGGAGGAAGGUGCAGCGCUGCUUUCUUGCUCCCUGGGCUUUUCCGUUUCAUGUAGCGCUCAAACGGCAGCCACAGGCAAAGCAGCGGCUGCUGUUUGUUUUCUUUGAUUGUUGAGCUCGCAUGGCGAAGCCCUCCUCUCCAGCCUUUCAAAAAACUUUGUGUCACUCUGGGUAAACGUCGAGUGUCUCUGCCAACGCUAAACUGCCGCAGCCCGCGCGUCUUCAUGGUAUUAGUUCUAUUGUUUCUGAUGGGGACUCCUAAAGCGAAAGGGGCACUUUUUAUUCAGAAUCUCGCUGGACUUGCAGCAAUAAGCACAACUUGAAUAGAACUGAAAGAAGCCGACGGUGUUCCUGGAGUUCCGCUCUGCUGACUUCCUCACUCCUUCCUGAUCCGCGCAGUGAUUUAUACUGUGUCCCUGUUACUCAGGGGCCACGCGCAGCUCUAGCAGGGACCUUUGUGUUGUCACAAAUCCUUGGCUGCUGAUACACGUUCGUUUCAAAUCAUAAAUUACUUAAAGUGACUCUUCAGGGACUGCGGUGUCGAAAACCUGCUUUGAUUUAUUUCCCUGUGAAAAAACAAAUCUUUUAGUGAUUUGGUCUUGAAUUGAAAGCGUUCUGAUACAGUGGGGAGUUUUCCCUGGUCCCACAAAAGCCCUUCAGCGGUUGCCUUGGGUUUUCCCAGUCUGUAUUUAUUUACCUGAAUGUGUUAUCACUGUAUUUCAGACGGUUGAUGAAUGGUGUCAUCACUGUGCAAUCAGCCUAAACCUCAAGUGUCAAAUAAAUUAGCUGCAACACGUCUGACAUUUCUGUGAAUUGUCCUAAAGGGUGAGGUUCACAGGUGAUCUGCACCCGUGUUCAUUUUUCAUUAGCAUCUGCUUUUUUAAAUAAACAUCUGGGGGAAUAAAAGCAGCGCGACAUCACAGUCGCCCUCAUUGAGGCUGGCGGCUCCAGACGAGGCUGCUUUGACUGAAGCGCGUCGAGCCUGGAAGUGGUGCACGAUUCACGUAGCAUAUUUAGCAGCAGUUGAAUGUUUUAUGGGGAAAGUUUGCAUGAAAGGAGCUUUUCAGACUCCGGUGCUUCCUUUCAUUUGACUGUUUGACUUAUCGUGAACCGCAGAUAGAAACGAUUGUGAGCCUUCUGUCAAAGCCCGUCUCCUGUGGCCUCCUCCACCGAAUGCCUAACACCAGCACUUUGUGCAGCUGUGCUGACCAUGAACAGACUUUUAUUCUGGCAUAAAUAAAUGAAAAAUACAUAAAGAUGAUAAGUAAUGAUACAAUUGCUUCCAAUUCUUCACGUUACCUUAAAAUAAACGACUGAACCGACACAUGGCUGCUUUGUUAUCUUUUUCCAAACCCUGCUCCGAGUUU